rnacentral:rRNA from 1 species
UACGAAGGGUGCUAGCGUUGUUCGGAAUUACUGGGCGUAAAGCGCGCGUAGGCGGCUUAACAAGUCAGGGGUGAAAUCCUGGAGCUCAACUCCAGAAUUGCCUUUGAAACUGUUAAGCUUGAGUGUCGGAGGGGAUAGCGGAAUUGCUAAUGUAGAGGUGAAAUUCGUAGAUAUUAGCAGGAACACCGGUGGCGAAGGCGCUAUCGUGGACGACAACUGACGCUGAGGCGCGAAAGCGUGGGGAUCAAACAGGAUUAGAAACCC